rnacentral:rRNA from 1 species
AUUGAACGCUGGCGGCAGGCCUAACACAUGCAAGUCGAGCGGAUGAAGGGAGCUUGCUCCUGGAUUCAGCGGCGGACGGGUGAGUAAUGCCUAGGAAUCUGCCUGGUAGUGGGGGAUAACGUCCGGAAACGGGCGCUAAUACCGCAUACGUCCUGAGGGAGAAAGUGGGGGAUCUUCGGACCUCACGCUAUCAGAUGAGCCUAGGUCGGAUUAGCUAGUUGGUGGGGUAAAGGCCUACCAAGGCGACGAUCCGUAACUGGUCUGAGAGGAUGAUCAGUCACACGGGAACUGAGACACGGUCCAGACUCCUACGGGAGGCAGCAGUGGGGAAUAGUGGACAAUAGGCGGAAGCCUGAUCCAGCCAGGCCGCGUGUGUGAAGAAGGUCUUCGGAUUGUAAAGCACUUUAAGUUGGGAGGAAGGGCAGUAAGUUAAUACGUUGCUGUUUUGACGUUACCAACAGAAUAAGCACCGGCUAACUUCGUG